UACAGAGGGUGCAAGCGUUGUUCGGAAUUAUUGGGCGUAAAGCGCGUGUAGGCGGCUUAGCAAGUCGGGCGUGAAAGCCCUCGGCUCAACCGAGGAAGUGCACCCGAAACUGCUGAGCUUGAGUGCCGGAGAGGAUGGCGGAAUUCCCCAAGUAGAGGUGAAAUUCGUAGAUAUCGGGAGGAACACCUAUGGCGAAGGCAGCUCGCUGGGACGUUACUGACGCUGAGACGCGAAAGCGUGGGGAGCAAACAGG
rnacentral:rRNA from 1 species